UUAACCACUAAUGAUAUUGGAGGCAGUUUGCUCCCUUCCAUUAGGGGACGCCAGGCUAUGGAGAAAUGUACAGUAUGUGCAGAGGCGGAAACCACAGAAUAAAACUGUGGUCAACCUGAACGCAAUAGCCACGUCUCUGUCUGCUCAUUUUCUCCAAAUAGGUUCGGGCCCCAGAAGAGAUCCAUAGCGACAAGGUCACAAUUUUGAGUCUGCUGUCAUGGUGGAAGUCUGCCGGCUGCUGGGUGUGCACAAGACUCACACUACCCCACUGCACCAGGAUGGGAUGCCUGGAUGGCUGACCCUUGAGGAGUGGGUUGUGUCGUGUUGGUGAGCCAAGCGGCGACCAUUUGCAAUCUGCAUAUUUAUCAGUGCAACACACUGCUUGUGUAAAUACCCCCUGUCUAUGUCAUGUAUGUAGUUCAUGUGCCUUGUUCUGUGUGUCAUGGGUCCCUGUACUUGUGUUCUGUUUAGUUUUAUGCUCGAUCCCCACGUGCUUAACUGCAUGUAGAUUACCUACCAUGUGCAAUUCCCACUGUUUGUGCAAUGACCUCCCCUCUGUUUCCCAGUUGGAAGGUAACCUUACAGAGGUACUGUAAUUCUCGCAUGCUUUAUGUGUGAGUGAGUUUUGUUUGUGCCUACGCAGUUUUGAAUCCUGUUAGACUACCAAAAAACAAGCACUUCAUGUCAGCUCAUCAUUGCAUCAUGUCUGGGUCUGGCAGAUACCACAAUAUUUUGCUGUGCUGCCAGAUACAAAAGAAAAUACUUUUCAUUUGACUGCUUAUUUUCAGGUGAAGAGUAAAGAUAGACCUGUAGCCUCAACAAAUGAGCUUUGUUCAACAUUUAACAGUUAAAACAGGCUACGUUUUUCACAUAAUAGUAGACUGUUCAUACAUUUAGGCAUAUUUCACCUGCAACAAUGUUUGCAAUAACAGGUCAUAGAUUUGCACAAACAAAAUUAACACAUUGUGUGCUGGUUUACCUGAUGUUGUGCGUCAAUUAAUAUACCACACAUCCAUCUACAUACCUGGCUUAUUACUACUAUUUGCUUCUAUUACCCAUUGUACUUCCUGACUCACAAGUUCCAUUUAAUACAUUCUGCCUUAAAGUCAUCCCAUCUGGAGCCAGGUUCUUUGACCGGAGACUUGUCCAUCUCUGCCAGCGUUAAACUCUCACGUCUGUGUAGCAGUGCUACCCUAACCCAACAUGGUUCAUUUUCUCAUUAUCUGCAGGAAAUUCAGGUUUUACCAUGAAGAAUAGAAGGAUUUAAAUGUGGAAUUCAUUUCUGAAGGCUCUGUGUUUGUAAGUUAAGAUGCUACUUAUAAAAUACAAGAGUUGGACUAAC